rnacentral:misc_RNA from 1 species
AUGAUGUGAGAGAAUUGAUCUACAGAGAGAUAUUGGAGUAUCAUCCUCAGAUGCUACAGGAGUACCUUCGAGGUGGAGAACAAACAAGCUUUAUGUACCCAAGUGGUGUUGAUCGAUUCAAGCGGCAAUUUGCACAUCUUGAGGAGCAUUAUGGUAAAGGUGAAAAAGGCAACCCAGUCCUAAGGCACCAUGCUUCCUUGCCUAGAC